GACGAACGCUGGCGGCGUGCCUAAUACAUGCAAGUAGAACGCUGAAGGAGGAGCUUGCUUCUCUGGAUGAGUUGCGAACGGGUGAGUAACGCGUAGGUAACCUGCCUGGUAGCGGGGGAUAACUAUUGGAAACGAUAGCUAAUACCGCAUAAGAGUAGAUGUUGCAUGACAUUUGCUAAAAAGGUGCAAUUGCAUCACUACCAGAUGGACCUGCGUUGUAUUAGCUAGUUGGUGGGGUAACGGCUCACCAAGGCGACGAUACAUAGCCGACCUGAGAGGGGGAUCGGCCAAACUGGGACUGAGACACGGCCCAGACUCCUACGGGAGGCAGCAGUAGGGAAUCUUCGGCAAUGGACGGAAGUCUGACCGAGCAACGCCGCGUGAGUGAAGAAGGUUUUCGGAUCGUAAAGCUCUGUUGUAAGAGAAGAACGAGUGUGAGAGUGGAAAGUUCACACUGUGACGGUAUCUUACCAGAAAGGGACGGCUAACUACGUG
rnacentral:rRNA from 1 species